AGUAAUGAAUAGCCUCCACGGUGCACUAGGAGCGGGGAGCAGCCUGGAGUUUCAGAGCUAGCAGGCAGGCCACCCAGAGAGCGAGUGAACGUCUUAUGACGUCCUCCAAGUUGCCCUCUCUACAUUCCUCCCUCUCUCUCCCCCUCCCUGUCUACAUUCUUUCUUUCCUUUAUAUCUCUCUCUCUGAGGGUUUUUGCUGCUCAGUAAUUAUUCAUCGCAGUAAUGAUGGCAAUGUUAAUGCACAGCAGGAACGGGGCCUCCGGCACCUCAUAACCUCGUCAUACUGGGCUUGCCUUAGGAAUUGUAAGAGAGGCAGAAGCUGUGCAAUGUGUUGGGUCUUUGCUAAAAUGGUGCACCUAACUAUAUUAUCCAUCCAGAUGCCUCAGGAAUGCCAGCUCUUUCACAGGACCGAUCCACAGUGCCAAACCAUGCGACCGAACCACAGGACUGACCCACAGGACUGAGUCAAAGGGAAUUAAAAAUAAUGUUAGGAGGUAAUUUUGAAUGAUUCUGCCCAAGAUUUUAUGAUACAAUAUCCUGGAGUAUCUUUAGCAAAUGGGUCAUCUCACCACAGCCUUCUUUUCUGACAUCCGCUAUCAAACCCAAUAAUGCCUCCUCCUGACGCAACACCUUGGCCUUGAUUCAGCCUCUCAGUUUGUAUAAUGUUUAACAAUCUACCGAGACAAUGUGGAUGCCGACAUUGUCCAUACCACAAACAUAACCUUAUAUUUAAUCAUAAUCAUCUAUUUAAUCAUAGUAUGCUCAGAAUACAUUUAUACCAGUAUAAGUUUGUUUAACCAUGGAUGCUAUUUAUACACACACACACAGACCACUGAAUUAAUACUUCUGUUCUGUUUGGUAUUUGUCCAUCUGGUUGUCUUGAGCACAGAUGCACUGGCGUGCUGUCCAACUCCAGUAGCGUCCUCUUUUAUACUAUGUGAAGCUAUAAUUUGUAGUCCAUUAUUAUGAGUGUAUUUUAUGUUCUUUUUUGCUUACUGUAGCCCUAGAAUUUGUCCCCUGGGAUCAUUAAAGUAUAUCUACAUUUAUCUA